ACGAACGCUGGCGGCGUGCUUCACACCUGCCAGUCGCACGAUGAAGCCUAGCUUGCUAGGUGGAUUAGUGGCGAACGGGUGAGUAAUACGUGAGUAACCUACCUUUAACUCUGGGAUAAGCCCGGGAAACUGGGUCUAAUACCGGAUACGACCAAUCUCCGCAUGGGGUGUUGGUGGAAAGCGUUAUGUAGUGGUUAUAGAUGGGCUCACGGCCUAUCAGCUUGUUGGUGAGGUAACGGCUCACCAAGGCGACGACGGGUAGCCGGCCUGAGAGGGUGACCGGCCACACUGGGACUGAGACACGGCCCAGACUCCUACGGGAGGCAGCAGUGGGGAAUAUUGCACAAUGGGCGCAAGCCUGAUGCAGCGACGCCGCGUGAGGGAUGACGGCCUUCGGGUUGUAAACCUCUGUUAGCAGGGAAGAAGAGAGAUUGACGGUACCUGCAGAGAAAGCGCCGGCUAACUACGUG
rnacentral:rRNA from 1 species